UACGGGGGGGGCAAGCGUUGUUCGGAAUUACUGGGCGUAAAGGGCUCGUAGGCGGCCAACUAAGUCAGACGUGAAAUCCCUCGGCUUAACCGGGGAACUGCGUCUGAUACUGGAUGGCUUGAGUUUGGGAGAGGGAUGCGGAAUUCCAGGUGUAGCGGUGAAAUGCGUAGAUAUCUGGAGGAACACCGGUGGCGAAGGCGGCAUCCUGGACCGAUACUGACGCUGAGGGGCGAAAGCCAGGGGAGCAAACGGG
rnacentral:rRNA from 1 species